GUAUUUUCACGAGCUAUUUAUUUAAGCAAACACUGAACGAUUAUUACAGUUUUCAUAGUACAACCCGGAAGACUUUUUAUUUUAUUCAAUCACCUAAUUUCUCCACCUAAUUUAUCCACCUACUCUUCCACCACUAAUUUUUUCUUUUCCCUACCACUAACUUAUUUUUAUCUAAUAAACAUGAGUGGAAGUGUGAUGAGUGAAGAUAGGAUUAGUGUGCUAAGGUGGUAGGGAACCAAGCUUUAAUCAUGAAUAAUGCUUUGUCCUUAAUCAUUCUUCCAUUGCAAGACAAAGCUCAUCACUUCACUCCCUCACACUUCAAUUCUCGGCCUCCCCUCUCUCUCUCUAUACUCUCUUUUCCUCUAUUGUUGUCCAUUGAAGAAAGCUUAGAGAAGCUUCAUCAAACACUACUAUGAGAUAAUCCACCAUCCAAUCCAAUCAAAUACUAUCAUAUCUCAUCAAAUUCAAGAAGCUAGAGCUAAGAUCAAAGUUGGAGCAAAGUCUUGAUCACCUUUUAAAUCCUUGAGCUUUGUGACCAGGGGGAUUAGCGCUGCUUUCCCAAGACAGGUUUAUAUGUGAUUAUGAUCUUCAGGCUUUGCCUAACCAGGUGGGCUUACUUUCCAAAUGUACAAAGUAUGAUUGAGUUAUUAAGCUCUAAAUGUUUCAAUGAAAUGCAAAUUGUUUAUUUAAUGUAAUGAAAACUGUUUAUCCAAUAAAAUGUUUAUGUGCACUCUGCUCUGUUUAAGGCUCGCAAUUCAUGGAUCGAUCGAGGUUCUCUUAUGGCCUAACACGUUAUUUGAGAAUUGUGUACACUUGUUAGUUGUUUCGGUGGGUUGAUCUCCAUCGGGCACUAAUUCAUGUAAGAGGCGUUAUAAGGGUGCUUGGCUGGAUGUGUUCCGGAGCAUGUAUCAUGUAAGGCCUGCCUGGGUAGCGUCCCGAGGUCAAUUCAACUUGUCUGAGUUACGUCCCCAGGGCAAGUGCAAUGGGAGAAAUGGAUCCGUCGGUGGCUAGAGGUCCGGGAUCACAGCGAGUAACAGAAAGGGAGUGUGACAUGUGCGCACAAAUGAAAGAAAA